GGUCUGAAGCUCCUGUAAAAACUAAAAUGGGGAGAGAACCAGUUAACCGUGAGGUGGGAGUGGUGGAGUCAGGAGGAGAUGUCUGAUAGGGUCAGUCCGCCAUGGCCCAGUUAGCUCACAAUGAGGGUUGGGUUGGGCUGCUGUGUUCGUGUGAUGUCACGGUAAUCGUCAGGCAAGACCAGGAGAACAAGUUACACAAUGGAAAAGCAGGAAGUGGAAAUCGUAGCCAAGGUAACAUCUGGCUCAGAACUUGUUCUGUUACAGACAGGAAGGGCACCUGAAGUUGGCAGAUUACUGCAAGACGGGGAGUUGCCCUGAGAGUCUGAAGCAGAAUUCCGUUUAUUAUCAUUAACGUAUGCCAUGAAAUAUGCUGUUUUGGGACAGCAACACAGUGUAAGGUAUUAAAAUUCUAUAAAUUACAAAAAUAUGUAAAUGAGGGAAUAGCUGCGGUCCAUACACAGACUGUUCAGAAAGCUGGUGGUGAAGGAGAAUAUGUUGUUCUGAAUCAUUCUGUCUGGGUCGUCAGGCUCCCGUAUCUCCUCCCCAGUGGGCGUGACAAGAACUGGACAUCGUCCCGAACGGAGAGAGUCCUGAACGGAGAGGGUCAGGCACUGCCUCUCGAAGAUGCGCUCGAUGGUGGGGACGCCUGUGCCCCUGAUGGUGCCCGGUGAGCCUGCAAACCCUCUGCCCUCUCCUGUGACCCUGAGCCUCGGAGCCUCCAGACCAGAGACUGAUGCAACCUCUCCCAAUGCCUGCCAUCGCACGUCCGUAGAAAUCUGCAUGAACCCUUUCCAGGGCACCCGUAUCUCCUCCCCAGUGGGCGUGACAAGAACUGGACAUCGUCCCGAAUGGAGAGGGUCCUGAACGGAGAGGGUCAGGCACUGCCUCUCGAAGAUGCACUCGACGGUGGGGACGCCUGUGCCCCUGAUGGUGCCCGGUGAGCCUGCAAACCCUCUGCCCUCUCCUGUGACCCUGAGCCUUGGAGCCUCCAGACCAGAGACUGAUGCAACCUCUCCCAAUGCCUGCCAUCGCACGUCCGUAGAAAUCUGCAUGAACCAUUUCCAGGCUGCGGUCCAUACACAGACUGUUCAGAAAGCUGAUGGUGAAGGAGAAUAUGUUCUUCUGAAUCAUUCUGACUGGGUCGUCAGGCUCCCGUAUCUCCUCCCCAGUGGGCGUGACAAGAACUGGACAUCGUCCCGAACGGAGAGAGUCCUGAACGGAGAGGGUCAGGCACUGCCUCUCGAAGAUGCGCUCGAUGGUGGGGACGCCUGUGCACCUGAUGGUGCCCGGUGAGCCUGCAAACCCUCUGCCCUCUCCUGUGACCCUGAGCCUCGGAGCCUCCAGACCAGAGACUGAUGCAACCUCUCCCAAUGCCUGCCAUCGCACGUCCGUCGAAAUCUGCAUGAACCCUUUCCAGGGUGAGUCAAAGGUUCAGAGCACAGUUAUAAUUCAUUAAUUACACACGAGAUACUUGUGCAAUCCAAAUAACCACUACGCAGAGAAAGAGAGGGAACAAGAAUCACACACGUCAUGCAAACAACAGAAGCAAGCCAACAGCGUCCCAAAUCAGACCGCGUCCCAGAUCCGGUCGCGGAGUACCCGAGUAAGUUCAAGUCUCGGUCCCCAGUACAUCACACCAGCAGGGCAGAAAGUCAGAGCAGUUUCAGAAUAUAUCUGCGAAAGGAUAGGUCUGGUCGGCUGUUUGAGAUUCCAGAUUGGAGACGGGCCAGCUGUGAUGGUAUCAGAAAUGAUCUGGCCACGCUGGAUUGGGACAAACUGUUCUCUGGCUAAGGUGUACUUGGAAAGUGAGAGUCCUUCAAAAGUGACAUCUUGAGAGUACAAAGCUUGCAUGUGCCUUUCAGAAUAAAAGGCAAAGAUAACAGGUGUAGGGAUUCUUGGUGUUGGAGAGAUAUUGAGGCCCUGGUUCAGAGAGAAAGGGAGGUGCACAGCAGGUCCAGGCAGGUCGGAACAAAUGAGGUGCUACUGGAGUAUGAGAAAUGCAAAAGAACGCUUAGGAAAGAAAUCGGGAGGGUGAAAAGAAGGCAUGAAGUUGCUCUGGCAGACUUGGUGAAGGAGAAUCCUAAGGGAUUCGGCAGAUAUGUUUAAGAACAAAAGGAUUUCAAGGGACUAAAUUAGUCCACUGAAGAUCAGAAUUGUAAGCUUUGCAUGUUGCCAAAAAAAAUGGGGGAAAUCUGAAAUGCUUUCUUUGCCUCAGGAGACAGACACAGAGUCUAUAGAAAUGAGGCAAAGCACUAUCAACUUCAUGGACCCUGUACAGAUUACAGAGGAGGAGUUUUUGCGGACCUGAGGCUUAUUGGGCUGGAUAAAUGCUCAUGGGCGUGACAUGAUGUUCCCUCGGACCCUGCGGGAGACAAGUGCAGGGACCCAAGCGGAGAUAUUUAAAUCAUCCUUGGCGAGAGGAGAGGUAUCAGAGGAUUGGAGGAUAACCAAUGUUGCUCCACUGUUUAAAGAAGGCUUUAAAAAUAAACCAGGAAAUCGUAGGCCAGCACCACACCCCUGCCUCACCCACCCCCUCCCCCCAACAUCAGUGGUGGGAAAGUUAUUGGAAGUUAUUCUAAGUGACCAGUUAUGAGUAUUUGUAUAGGCAUGGAUUUAUUAGGGAUAGACUGCAUGGCUUUGUGCAUGGUAGGUCAUGUCUAACCAAUCUUAAAGAGGAAGUUACCAUGAAAGUUGAUGAAGGCAAGGCAGUAGAUGUUGUCUACAUGGACUUUAACAAAGCAUUGGACAAGGUCCAGCAUGGGAGGCUGUUCAAGGAGAUUCAGUCGCUCAGCAUUCUGGAUGAGGUAGUAAAUUGGAUUAGACAUCGGCUUUGUGGGAGAAGACAGAGAGUGGUAGCAGAUGAUUGCCUCUCUGACUGGAAGCCUGUGACUAGUGGAGUGAUGCGGGAACUGUUGAUGAGUCCACUGUUGCCUGUCAUCUGUAUCAGUGAUCUGGGAGAUCAUAUGGCUAACUGGAGCAGCAAAUUUGCAAAUGACAGCAAGAUAGAGGGUGUGGUGGACAAUGAUGAAUGCUAUCAUUGUUUGCAGGGGAAUCUGAACCAGCUGACAAAAUGGCAGAAGGAAUUUAAUGCAGGCAAGGGUGAGGUUUUGCACUUUGGUAUGACUAACCAGAGUUGGACAUACACAGUGAAUGGUGGGGCACUGAGGAAAUACAGGUCCAUAAUUUGUUGAAAGUAGUGUCACGUGUAGAUAGGGUUGUAAAAAAAGCUUUUGGCACAUUGGCUUUCAUAAAUCAAUGUAUUGAGUACAGAGAUGGGAUGUUACGUUGAAGUUGUAUAGGACAUUGGCAAGGCCUAAUUAUGGUACUGCGUGCAAUUUUUGGUCACCUACCUACAGGAAAGAUGUAAACAAGGUUGAAAGAGUGCAGAGAGAAUUUACAAGGAUGUUGUUGGGUCUGGAGGACUUGAGUUAGAAGGAAAGAUUGAUUAGUUUGGGACUGUAUUCUUCAGAACAUUGAAGACUGAGGGGAGAUUUGAUCGAGGUAUACAAAAUUAUGAGAGGUACAGAGAGGGUAAGUGCAAGCAGGCUGUUUCCGCUGAGGUUGGGUGGGACUACAACCAGAGGUCAUGGGUUAAGGGUGAAAGGUGAAACGUUUAAGGAGAACAUGAGGGGAAACAUCUUCACCCAGAGGAUGGUGAGAGUGUGGAACGAGCUGCCAGCACAAGUGGUGUCUGCGAGCGCAAUUUCAACGCUUAAGAAAAGUUUGGGUAGGUACAUGGACAGUAGGGUUGCCAUUCCAAGCCAUUAUCCAUCCAUAAGACCAUCAGAUAUAGGGGCAGACUUGGGACAUUUGGCCCAUUGAGUCUGAUCCACCAUUUCAUCUUGGCUGACCCAUUUCCAUUUCCCCUCUCAGCCCCAGUCUCCUGCCUCCUCCCCGUAUCCCUUCAUGCCCUGACCAAUCGAGAAUCUAUCAGCCUCUGCCUUCAACAUACCCAAUGACUUGACCUCCACAGCUGCCUGUGGCAACAAGUUCCUCAGAUUCACCAUUAAAGAAAUUCCUCUUCACCUCCAUUCUAAAUGGAUGUCCCUCAAUUCUGAGGCUGUGUCCCCUGGUGACUCGCCCACCAUAAGAA